UACUUCGGUACAUCCAAGACAGGUGGUGCAUGGUUGUCGUCAGCUCGUGUCGUGAGAUGUUGGGUUAAGUCCCGCAACGAGCGCAACCCUUAUCUUCAGUAGCCAGCAGGUAAAGCCGGGCACUCUGGAGAGACUGCCGGGGAUAACCCGGAGGAAGGUGGGGAUGACGUCAAAUCAUCAUGCCCCUUAUGAUUUGGACUACACACGUGCUACAAUGGCGUAAACAGAGGGAAGCGAGCCCGCGAGGGGGAGCAAAUCCCAAAAAUAACGUCCCAGUUCGGAUUGUAGUCUGCAACCCGACUACAUGAAGCUGGAAUCGCUAGUAAUCGCGGAUCAGAAUGCCGCGGUGAAUACGUUCCCGGGUCUUGUACACACCGCCCGUCACACCAUGGGAGUCGGAAAUGCCCGAAGUCUGUGACCUAACCGUAAGGGAGGAGCAGCCGAAGGCAGGUCGGAUGACUGGGGUGAAGUCGUAACAAGGUAGCCGUAUCGGAAGGUGCGGUUGGAUCACCUC
rnacentral:rRNA from 1 species